rnacentral:rRNA from 1 species
UACGUAGGGUGCAAGCGUUAAUCGGAAUUACUGGGCGUAAAGCGUGCGCAGGCGGUGAUGUAAGACAGAUGUGAAAUCCCCGGGCUCAACCUGGGAACUGCAUUUGUGACUGCAUCGCUGGAGUACGGCAGAGGGGGAUGGAAUUCCGCGUAUAGCAGUGAAAUGCGUAGAUGUGCGGAGGAACACCGAUGGCGAAGGCAAUCCCCUGGGCCUGUACUGACGCUCAUGCACGAAAGCGUGGGGAGCAAACAGG